AGCGAACGCUGGCGGCAGGCCUAACACAUGCAAGUCGAACGAACUCUUCGGAGUUAGUGGCGGACGGGUGAGUAACACGUGGGAACGUGCCUUUAGGUUCGGAAUAACUCAGGGAAACUUGUGCUAAUACCGAAUGUGCCCUUCGGGGGAAAGAUUUAUCGCCAAGGGAUCGGCCCGCGUUGGAUUAGGUAGUUGGUGGGGUAAUGGCCUACCAAGCCGACGAUCCAUAGCUGGUUUGAGAGGAUGAUCAGCCACACUGGGACUGAGACACGGCCCAGACUCCUACGGGAGGCAGCAGUGGGGAAUCUUGGACAAUGGGCGCAAGCCUGAUCUAGCCAUGCCGCGUGAGCGAUGAAGGCCUUAGGGUUGUAAAGCUCUUUCAGCUGGGAAGAUAAUGACUGUACCAGCAGAAGAAGCCCCGGCUAACUCCGUGCCAGCCGCCGCCGUAACAC
rnacentral:rRNA from 1 species